UGGAGAUGUCAGUUAGGGAUCAGGCAGUUGUAACGGUUCUGACUGCUCCUGUGGACAUGUGGAUUUUCUCAGCCCGCUUCUUUCCCUUCUCUCCUGGGAGCUUCAGCUGCUUAUGUGUGGAUUUUGUUUCCUUGACUGUUCACCUGUGGCUUGAAGUGCAUGGGAAGAAGGAAGUUAGAUGAAAACAGUAUGAAGAGGUGGUGGAAGCAAGAACGUAUAAUGGAGAGAAUUCAGAGGCAUAGAAAACCAGGAAGAAAGAAAGGCAAGCAGGCAGACAAGAUGACAUUUAUCACAGAAAAUCAAAGAACUGGCCGCACUGCAAAUAAAGAGCAAGUCUUCACUUCCAACAGAGGGGAAAGAAAGCUGCCGAGUUUCUUCAUUUCUUGUCAAAGACCACCAACAGAAAAACCAGGAAACAUCUAUCUUUGCAAGUUUUAAGCUAUGUUUUUAUGUUUUCAUGGUUUACUACAGCAUAUAGAUUGAUUAGUCAAUAAAAA
rnacentral:lncRNA from 1 species